AUUGAACGCUGGCGGCAUGCCUUACACAUGCAAGUCGAACGGUAACAGGUCUUCGGAUGCUGACGAGUGGCGAACGGGUGAGUAAUACAUCGGAACGUGCCUAGUAGUGGGGGAUAACUACUCGAAAGAGUGGCUAAUACCGCAUGAGAUCUACGGAUGAAAGCAGGGGAUCGCAAGACCUUGUGCUACUAGAGCGGCCGAUGGCAGAUUAGGUAGUUGGUGGGAGAAAAGCUUACCAAGCCGACGAUCUGUAGCUGGUCCGAGAGGACGAUCAGCCACACUGGGACUGAGACACGGCCCAGACUCCUACGGGAGGCAGCAGUGGGGAAUUUUGGACAAUGGGCGAAAGCCUGAUCCAGCAAUGCCGCGUGCAGGAUGAAGGCCUUCGGGUUGUAAACUGCUUUUGUACGGAACGAAAAGCCCCGGGUUAAUACCCUGGGGUCAUGACGGUACCGUAAGAAUAAGCACCGGCUAACUACGUGCCAGCCGCCGCGGUAA
rnacentral:rRNA from 1 species